GAUGAAGAACGUAGCGAAAUGCGAUAAGUAAUGUGAAUUGCAGAAUUCAGUGAAUCAUCGAAUCUUUGAACGCACAUUGCGCCCGCCAGUAUUCUGGCGGGCAUGCCUGUUCGAGCGUCAUUACAACCCUCAGGCCCCCGGGCCUGGCGUUGGGGAUCGGCAGAAGCCCCCUGUGGGCACACGCCGUCCCUCAAAUACAGUGGCGGUCCCGCCGCAGCUUCCAUUGCGUAGUAGCUAACACCUCGCAACUGGAGAGCGGCGCGGUCAUGCCGUAAAACACCCAACUUCUGAAUGUUGACCUCGAAUCAGGUAGGAAUACCCGCUGAACUUAAGCAUAUCAAUAAGCGGAGGA
rnacentral:misc_RNA from 1 species